GACAAACGCUGGCGGCGUGCCUAAUACAUGCAAGUCGAGCGGAUGAAAGAGGAGCUUGCUCCUCUCGAUUCAGCGGCGGACGGGUGAGUAACACGUGGGCAACCUGCCCUGUAGAUUGGGAUAACUCCGGGAAACCGGGGCUAAUACCGAAUAAUCCUUCGGACCUCAUGGUCCGAUGUUGAAAGACGGCAUCUCGCUGUCACUACAGGAUGGGCCCGCGGCGCAUUAGCUAGUUGGUGAGGUAACGGCUCACCAAGGCGACGAUGCGUAGCCGACCUGAGAGGGUGAUCGGCCACACUGGGACUGAGACACGGCCCAGACUCCUACGGGAGGCAGCAGUAGGGAAUCUUCCACAAUGGACGAAAGUCUGAUGGAGCAACGCCGCGUGAGUGAAGAAGGUUCUCGGAUCGUAAAACUCUGUUGUGAGGGAAGAACAAGUACCGGAGUAACUGCCGGUGCCUUGACGGUACCUCAUUAGAAAGCCACGGCUAACUACGUGCCAGCCGCCGCGGUAA
rnacentral:rRNA from 1 species